rnacentral:rRNA from 1 species
GCCCUUGGAUCCAGACUUCUGAAUUAUGGCUCCAGAGAUGAACGCUGGCGGCGUGCCUAAUAACAUGCAAGUCGGACGCUUUGUCCUUUAACUGGAUAUGAAGAAGCUUGCUCUGAUUUGAUUUUAUCUGACAAAAGAAGUGGGCGAACGGGUGGAGUAACACGUGGGUAACCUACCUCUUAGCAGGGGAUAACAUUUGGAAACAAGUGGCUAAUACCGUUAUAAUACCAACAACCGCAUGGUUGUUGGUUGAAAGGUGGUUCUGCUAUCACUAAGAGAUGGACCCGCGGUGCAUUAGCUAGUUGGUAAGGUAACGGCUUACCAAGGCAAUGAUGCAUAGCCGAGUUGAGAGACUGAUCGGCCACAAUGGGACUGAGACACGGCCCAUACUCCUACGGGAGGCAGCAGUAGGGAAUCUUCCACAAUGGGCGCAAGCCUGAUGGAGCAACGCCGCGUGUGUGAUGAAGGGUUUCGGCUCGUAAAACACUGUUAUAAGAGAAGAACGGCACUGAGAGUAACUGUUCAGUGUGUGACGGUAUCUUACCAGAAAGGAACGGCUAAAUACGUGCCAGCAGCCGCGGUAAUACGUAUGUUCCAAGCGUUAUCCGGAUUUAUUGGGCGUAAAGCGAGCGCAGACGGUUAUUUAAGUCUGAAGUGAAAGCCCUCAGCUCAACUGAGGAAUGGCUUUGGAAACUGGAUGACUUGAGUGCAGUAGAGGAAAGUGGAACUCCAUGUGUAGCGGUGAAAUGCGUAGAUAUAUGGAAGAACACCAGUGGCGAAGGCGGCUUUCUGGACUGUAACUGACGUUGAGGCUCGAAAGUGUGGGUAGCAAACAGGAUUAGAUACCCUGGUAGUCCACACCGUAAACGAUGAGUGCUAGAUGUUCGAGGGUUUCCGCCCUUGAGUGUCGCAGCUAACGCAUUAAGCACUCCGCCUGGGGAGUACGACCGCAAGGUUGCAACUCAAAGGAAUUGACGGAAUGGCGAAUUCGU